AACAUAUGAUUUCUUUCUGUGCAGGUAUUGUGCAGACAAGAAACGCACGAGAAGAGGAAGUAUAUUUUCUUACCAUUCUAGGUUCCAGCAACAACGUGAGAGGAUAACCAGGCUCAUCAGGCAUAAGAGGCUUUAGGAGAAUAAGGGAAAGAAUUUUACCUUUUCAUUCUCGAUUCCAACCACGUAAAGAGGACCGAGAUGACCAGGAUUCCAGCCACAUCGUCGGACAUAUACUUCAAUAUAUAUAAAGUAUAUUAUAUAUUCACAUAAGAAAAACGGAAAAUAAAUUUUGCCUAUAUAAAUAA